UGAAAGGCGAAACGUAAUGUGAAUCGCAACUAACAGUGAAUCAUCGAAUCUUUGAACGCAGGCCGCACCUUUCGGUAUUGUUUCGGCAAUACCGAAAGGUAUCUACGUAUGAGUGUCAGCCAAAUAUUCUUUUGGUUCAUGAGGGAGACAUGGCAAUGCUGUGUUCAACUCGUGAAUACACACGUGUCUAGCGACAUAUCACUUGAAGCUUUUGACAGUGUCUGGCCUCAUAUGUGGAAGAUUACCCGCUGGAUUUAA
rnacentral:misc_RNA from 1 species